rnacentral:rRNA from 1 species
AAUUUAUGACUAUAAAUGCUCGGCCCGCUAUCUUGUAUAACGAGUGCCUUGUGUUUUGGUCAUCCUUCUGGAGAGCACUGCUGACCUUGAUUGGUUCGGUUGUUGUAAUCCAGUUCAUUUACUGUGAGUAAAUCAAAGUGUUCAAAGCAGGCUUGUGAAGCUUGUAUGCUCUAGCAUGGAAUAAUAAGAUAGGACUUGGGUUCUAUUUUGUUGGCUUUCAGAACCAAAGUAAUGAUCGAUAGGGAUAGUUGGGGGUGCUAGUAUUUAACGGUCAGCGGUGAAAUGCUCAGACCCGUUAAAGACUAACUUAUGCGAAAGCAUU